AAAUUGAAGAGUUUGAUCAUGGCUCAGAUUGAACGCUGGCGGCAGGCCUAACACAUGCAAGUCGAACGGUAACAGAAAGAAGCUUGCUUCUUUGCUGACGAGUGGCGGACGGGUGAGUAAUGUCUGGGAAACUGCCUGAUGGAGGGGGAUAACUACUGGAAACGGUAGCUAAUACCGCAUAACGUCGCAAGACCAAAGAGGGGGACCUUCGGGCCUCUUGCCAUCGGAUGUGCCCAGAUGGGAUUAGCUUGUUGGUGGGGUAACGGCUCACCAAGGCGACGAUCCCUAGCUGGUCUGAGAGGAUGACCAGCCACACUGGAACUGAGACACGGUCCAGACUCCUACGGGAGGCAGCAGUGGGGAAUAUUGCACAAUGGGCGCAAGCCUGAUGCAGCCAUGCCGCGUGUAUGAAGAAGGCCUUCGGGUUGUAAAGUACUUUCAGCGGGGAGGAAGGGAGUAAAGUUAAUACCUUUGCUCAUUGACGUUACCCGCAGAAGAAGCACCGGCUAACUCCGUGCCAGCAGCCGCGGUAAUACGGAGGGUGCAAGCGUUAAUCGGAAUUACUGGGCGUAAAGCGCACGCAGGCGGUUUGUUAAGUCAGAUGUGAAAUCCCCGGGCUCAACCUGGGAACUGCAUCUGAUACUGGCAAGCUUGAGUCUCGUAGAGGGGGUAGAAUUCCAGGUGUAGCGGUGAAAUGCGUAGAGAUCUGGAGGAAUACCGGUGGCGAAGGCGGCCCCCUGGACGAAGACUGACGCUCAGGUGCGAAAGCGUGGGGAGCAAACAGGAUUAGAUACCCUGGUAGUCCACGCCGUAAACGAUGUCGACUUGGAGGUUGUGCCCUUGAGGCGUGGCUUCCGGAGCUAACGCGUUAAGUCGACCGCCUGGGGAGUACGGCCGCAAGGUUAAAACUCAAAUGAAUUGACGGGGGCCCGCACAAGCGGUGGAGCAUGUGGUUUAAUUCGAUGCAACGCGAAGAACCUUACCUGGUCUUGACAUCCACAGAACUUUCCAGAGAUGGAUUGGUGCCUUCGGGAACUGUGAGACAGGUGCUGCAUGGCUGUCGUCAGCUCGUGUUGUGAAAUGUUGGGUUAAGUCCCGCAACGAGCGCAACCCUUAUCCUUUGUUGCCAGCGGUCCGGCCGGGAACUCAAAGGAGACUGCCAGUGAUAAACUGGAGGAAGGUGGGGAUGACGUCAAGUCAUCAUGGCCCUUACGACCAGGGCUACACACGUGCUACAAUGGCGCAUACAAAGAGAAGCGACCUCGCGAGAGCAAGCGGACCUCAUAAAGUGCGUCGUAGUCCGGAUUGGAGUCUGCAACUCGACUCCAUGAAGUCGGAAUCGCUAGUAAUCGUGGAUCAGAAUGCCACGGUGAAUACGUUCCCGGGCCUUGUACACACCGCCCGUCACACCAUGGGAGUGGGUUGCAAAAGAAGUAGGUAGCUUAACCUUCGGGAGGGCGCUUACCACUUUGUGAUUCAUGACUGGGGUGAAGUCGUAACAAGGUAACCGUAGGGGAACCUGCGGUUGGAUCACCUCCUUA
rnacentral:rRNA from 1 species